UGAUGAUAGAAAACAGGUGUAAUCAACAUCAUCCCAAUAGCGCUAUACUGAUGAUAGAAAACAGGUGUAAUCAACAUCACCCCAAUAGCGCUAUACUGAUGAUAGAAAACAGGUGUAAUCAACAUCACCCCAAUAGCGCUAUACUGAUGAUAGAAAACAGGUGUAAUCAACAUCACCCCAAUAGCGCUAUACUGAUGAUAGAAAACAGGUGUAAUCAACAUCAUCCCAAUAGCGCUAUACUGAUGAUAGAAAACAGGUGUAAUCAACAUCACCCCAAUAGCGCUAUACUGAUGAUAGAAAACAGGUGUAAUCAACAUCACCCCAAUAGCGCUAUACUGAUGAUAGAAAACAGGUGUAAUCAACAUCACCCCAAUAGCGCUAUACUGAUGAUAGAAAACAGGUGUAAUCAACAUCACCCCA